UGAACGCUAGCGGCAGGCCUAACACAUGCAAGUCGAGCGGAUGAAGGGAGCUUGCUCCUGGAUUCAGCGGCGGACGGGUGAGUAAUGCCUAGGAAUCUGCCUGGUAGUGGGGGAUAACGUCCGGAAACGGGCGCUAAUACCGCAUACGUCCUGAGGGAGAAAGUGGGGGAUCUUCGGACCUCACGCUAUCAGAUGAGCCUAGGUCGGAUUAGCUAGUUGGUGGGGUAAAGGCCUACCAAGGCGACGAUCCGUAACUGGUCUGAGAGGAUGAUCAGUCACACUGGAACUGAGACACGGCCCAGACUCCUACGGGAGGCAGCAGUGGGGAAUAUUGGACAAUGGGCGAAAGCCUGAUCCAGCCAUGCCGCGUGUGUGAAGAAGGUCUUCGGAUUGUAAAGCACUUUAAGUUGGGAGGAAGGGCAGUAAGUUAAUACCUUGCUGUUUUGACGUUACCAACAGAAUAAGCACCGGCUAACUUCGUG
rnacentral:rRNA from 1 species